UACAGAGGUCUCAAGCGUUGUUCGGAUUCAUUGGGCGUAAAGGGUGCGUAGGUGGCGCCGUAAGUCAGGUGUGAAUUCGGAGCUUAACUCCGAAACUGCAUUUGAUACUGCGGUGCUUGAGGACUGGAGAGGAGACUGGAAUUUACGGUGUAGCAGUGAAAUGCGUAGAGAUCGUAAGGAAGACCAGUGGCGAAGGCGGGUCUCUGGACAGUUCC
rnacentral:rRNA from 1 species